rnacentral:rRNA from 1 species
GACGAACGCUGGCGGCGUGCUUAACACAUGCAAGUCGAACGCUGAAGCUCAGCUUUUGUUGGGUGGAUGAGUGGCGAACGGGUGAGUAACACGUGAGUAACCUGCCUCCUUCUUUGGGAUAACGCCCGGAAACGGGUGCUAAUACUGGAUAUUCACUGGUCUUCGCAUGGGGGUUGGUGGAAAGGGUUUUUCUGGUGGGGGAUGGGCUCGCGGCCUAUCAGCUUGUUGGUGGGGUGAUGGCCUACCAAGGCUUUGACGGGUAGCCGGCCUGAGAGGGUGACCGGUCACAUUGGGACUGAGAUACGGCCCAGACUCCUACGGGAGGCAGCAGUGGGGAAUAUUGCACAAUGGGCGCAAGCCUGAUGCAGCGACGCGGCGUGAGGGAUGGAGGCCUUCGGGUUGUGAACCUCUUUCGCUCAUGGUCAAGCCGCAACAAUGGUUGUGGUGAGGGUAGUGGGUAAAGAAGCGCCGGCUAACUACGUG